rnacentral:rRNA from 1 species
AGAGUUUGAUCCUGGCUCAGGAUGAACGCUGGCGGUAUGCUUAACACAUGCAAGUCGAACGGAGUUCCUUCGGGGACUUAGUGGCGGACGGGUGAGUAACACGUGAGAACCUACCCUUAGGAUGGGGACAACAGUUGGAAACGACUGCUAAUACCCGAUGUGCCGAAAGGUGAAAGAUUUAUCGCCUAAGGAAGGGCUCGCGGCUGAUUAGCUAGUUGGUAAGGUAAAGGCUUACCAAGGCGACGAUCAGUAGCUGGUCUGAGAGGAUGAGCAGCCACACUGGGACUGAGACACGGCCCAGACUCCUACGGGAGGCAGCAGUGGGGAAUUUUCCGCAAUGGGCGAAAGCCUGACGGAGCAAUACCGCGUGUGGGAGGAAGGCUCUUGGGUUGUAAACCACUUUUCUCAGGGAAGAAUAGAUGACGGUACCUGAGGAAUAAGCAUCGGCUAACUCCGUGCCAGCAGCCGCGGUAAUACGGAGGAUGCAAGCGUUAUCCGGAAUCAUUGGGCGUAAAGCGUCCGCAGGUGGCCUAUCAAGUCUGCUGUCAAAGCGCAGAGCUCAACUCUGUAAAGGCAGUGGAAACUGAUAAGCUAGAGUACGGUAGGGGUAGCGGGAAUUCCCAGUGUAGCGGUGAAAUGCGUAGAUAUUGGGAAGAACAUCGGUGGCGAAGGCGCGCUACUGGGCCGAAACUGACACUGAGGGACGAAAGCUAGGGGAGCGAAAGGGAUUAGAUACCCCUGUAGUCCUAGCCGUAAACGAUGGAAACUAGGCGUGGCUUGUAUCGACCCGAGCCGUGCCGAAGCUAACGCGUUAAGUUUCCCGCCUGGGGAGUACGCACGCAAGUGUGAAACUCAAAGGAAUUGACGGGGGCCCGCACAAGCGGUGGAGUAUGUGGUUUAAUUCGAUGCAACGCGAAAAACCUUACCUACCCUUGACAUGUACGGAAUCUCCCAGAGAUGGGAGAGUGCCCGAAAGGGAACCGUAACACAGGUGCUGCAUGGCUGUCGUCAGCUCGUGUCGUGAGAUGUUGGGUUAAGUCCCGCAACGAGCGCAACCCUUGUCGUUAAUUGCCAUCAUUUAGUUGGGCACUUUAACGAGACUGCCGGUGACAAACCGGAGGAAGGUGGGGAUGACGUCAAGUCCUCAUGGCCCUUAUGGGUAGGGCUUCACACGUAAUACAAUGGCCGGUACAGAGGGCUGCCAACCCGCGAGGGGGAGCUAAUCUCAGAAAGCCGGUCGUAGUCCGGAUUGUUCUCUGCAACUCGAGAGCAUGAAGUUGGAAUCGCUAGUAAUCGCGGAUCAGCAUGUCGCGGUGAAUACGUUCCCGGGUCUUGUACACACCGCCCGUCACACCAUGGGAGUGGGUUUCACCAGAAGUAGGUAGUCUAACCGCAAGGAGGACGCUUACCACGGUGAGAUUCAUGACUGGGGUGAAGUCGAAACAAGGUA